CUGGUAAUGUGUAUUCAUUGAGUUCAUACAUCGUCCAGACGAUCCGUCGGAGUGCGCUUUAGGAAUCAAAUACCUCUUACUUUUCAGAAGCUUUAAGCAAGGGCACUUUUGUAAGAGAUUUUGGUACACAUACUGAGAUAAUUGAUUUGGAAGGCUCAGAUAUUAAAGCUGACAUGGAGUCUCGCCUUGUUCAGUGGCAAGGCAAGUUGGAUGAGCUACAUGUCUUUUUCAAGAAGUUGUGCAAGUCACGCAAAAAGUCACUAUUCACUAUUCACUAUUUUUUUUCUUGCGUUAGAUCUGCUUUUUUCGAUUCGAUUGCACCUUGACUAUUUUUGUACCGCUACUCCUCUUGCGUUAUAUUUAUUUAAAUGAGCAAUCUUUAAAAGACAGGAAAUGUCCUUCUUUCAAUAAAGUGGCGGAAUAAAACAAUUACACAAAGAUAUUACUAUGAUACUUUUUGGUAGGAAAUAUUUUAUUUUUGACCAGCACUGUUAUGCCUAAUUUUGUCCAUAAAGGGACAAAAUUGCUCCGAUUUUGAGACGACAUUACAGCUUUUUGGCAGCGAUCGCCAAGAAACUGAAUGUGCCACGGAAUUACACCCAAUUAAGAAAGAUAUUUUCUCCCUUCCAGCAGUCAUUAGAAAGCCGUUUUGUCCCCUCAAAAUCGGAUGUAGUUCACACGUUAAGGGUAAUAAACUGAUAAAAAAUGAUUUACAAUUAUCCUGUUGUCAAUAGGUUCUUAUUCACGUAAGCUGGGUCAUAAACUAUUUCUUGUGGCAGAAUCAUGGGGAAGAAGUUGUCCUUCAUUUUAAAAUCGCUGAAAUUGUAGUAACUAAACUUUGAAUGAAACUAUUGUAGGAAGAUUCAUUACUUGACGAGGGAAUUCCGCAUUUAAUUGCACGCGAAAAGCGAUACGCGAAGCGAUGAGUGCGAUAUCGGUUUUUAAGUGCAAUUUAACGCGGAAUUCACGAGCCAAGUAAUGGAUUUUCCUUGAAUCACAUAUUUGAAUAAAAACAAGAUAAAAAGAAAA